GCUUCGUUGGAGACAUCUGAUAAAAUUGAAAUAAUGCGGAAAAGAUUAGCAUGAUCCAUGCACAAAGAAUUUGUUGUGUCAUCUUAUUAUUGUCCAUAUUUUC